rnacentral:tRNA from 1 species
GGUGGGGUACCGAAGUGGCCGAACGGGCUCGCCUCGAAAGCGAGUGAGGGUUCACGCCCUCCGUGGGUUCAAAUCCCACCCCCACCG